CGGGUCCUAUGCAACGCUGAACCGGUGAACUCCGCCAGGCCCGGAAGGGAGCAACGGUAACCAGGAUUCUCGUGUGCCGUAGGGCGCCUGG
rnacentral:SRP_RNA from 1 species